CUUUCUUUUUUUCCAGGACAUUGGAGUUCUCAAGGACACACGGACCAGUAGGACUCACAAGGAGAAAAUAAUCCAAGCGACGCUGUAGCAACUGGUGGACGAAGGAGAGCUUCUUUAAUACUCCAGCAGAGCGUUUGACUCCGGGGACAGGACACAAGCUGAAAGACCAACUUCAUUACCGAGCUAUCUGACGCAGCAGCACCCUAACACGCUGCAGGGUCAACGUCACACCUCAGAGACGCUACUUAAUGGAGAGUCAGCUGUCUGAUCGGAUGACACAUGCGCAACAGCUCACAGCAACUUCACCAGCUGACGAGAUGCAGCAGAAGAGAGACUGGAGGAAAGAAACAGAGAUAAGUGGAGUUUCCUGUGAUUUCAAAGGAGGGCUAGGACAUCUGACAUCAAUGAAGACGGAGGCUUCUUGAGUUUCUGAAAAACUUAAGGUGCUGUACUCUGACUUUUUUCUGAUGUCUUCAACAUACUAUACUAUGUCGUUGAUUCUGACAUUUCAAUAGACUGUACUGACGUUAUGGUGCCUUUUUGUUCUUUACUCCCCACCUGAGUGCAAGGACAUCUGCUGGAGGAGUCCAAGGACAUUUGACAUCAAUGGAGACGUCGUCUUCUUGAGUUUCUGGAAAACUUAAGCAGUGCAGCGAGUCCCCCCCGGCUAGCC